rnacentral:rRNA from 1 species
AUGCGGAGCGGCUGCUCUAGAGCACCGCUUCUAGAGUGGCGUGAAUGUAGACAGCUGGCUGCGGCCGGGACGCGCGCGGGUGCCGGAGGGGUUUUGGGUGGGCUAGAUUCUUCAGACGUGGGUGUGGUAGCGGUCCGGGCGCCCGCAAAGCCCUUCCUUUUUUUCUUCGGUUUGCGGGAAUGCAUCUGGACCAGUCGACGGACUGAUCCAGGAUCGCAUGGCAAAGCACGUCCGAACCGCUCGAUCGGGAUAGUUGCGGGUGAUUUGAGGGUCGCUGUUGGAGAUGUCCUAAUCCCAUUCAUCAAGAUGGCUUCGAUCUUCGGAGCCGGGGAGAUUCAACCCUUUUUUGCUCGAGACCAACUGACGUUAUCCAUUGAGGGCUCCCAACGGGCCUCCAUGAGGGCCGAGCUCCAUUCAACAUUUUGCGAUGAUAUGGAUCCUGCAGUUCCUGAAGACCCCGUCAUGUUGUCAUGUCGAAAGAAGAAAACUGCUGAUACUAUCUCCCUUGAAGUUGUGAAAGAACACAUCGAUGAGUUCAUCCAUGCCUCCAUGGAUGAGCACCCGAUCUACUUCAAGAAGAUCAUUUAG